CCAGCCCCUUUCGAUGACGGGUAUUCUUGGGUACAUAAUACGGAUGGCGCUGUUAUUGCUUGAGAAUACGCGUAGUCGAGGGAGAGGCACCGACGUCUGG